rnacentral:siRNA from 1 species
UCGUUACAAUCACAAUCUAAG